rnacentral:rRNA from 1 species
ACGCUCGACACCUACGGAGGCAGCAGUUAGGAAUAUUGGGCAAUGGAGGAAACUCUGACCCAGCAACGCCGCGUGAAGGAAGAAGGUUUUCGGAUUGUAAACUUCUGAUCUAGGGGAAGAAGGAAGUGACGGUACCCUAGGAGAAAGCCACGGCUAACUACGUGCCAGCAGCCGCGGUAAUCGUGAGGCGGGCUGGCAAGGC